rnacentral:lncRNA from 1 species
AUAAGGGGAGCAGGGAGGAGGAAAAACAGAGCAGACAGGAGGAUCAUCAUCAGCAAGCAGUCACGUGGGCCAAAACGUGCUGUGGGCAGAGGUGGCAGCAAUCAAGAUGCCAGGCUUUCUGUACAGGAUGCCCGGGAGGGGAUUCUGGGGAGACGCCAUUCAGAGUGGACACUGGGUCUGUGCGACUGUUUGCAGCUCAGGAUGUUUGCCAUCACAACGGCAGAGCCGCAGUUCACACCCAGGCACAUUCUCCCCAAGACCUGUGGCUGCAACCACUGCUAUGCAUGGAAUGUGAGACGGAUGGUGCUCGCCUAGCCAACAGUUGACGCUGAAUACAUCUUCAUCUAUGUAUUGACCAUCUACCCUUUUCCCAUGUUUUGUUUGUCAAAAUUCUUUGCUAAUUUCCUUAUUAAAAAUGGUCAGUAUUUUAAUUCUCCUGAUUCAUGAUAAUUUCUUUGACAAAGAAAUUAAUACUUUGUUAAAUGAGUACAAAUAUUUUUAAACAAUCUGUUUUACUUUUAAUCUUUGUUUAUGGUGAUAUUUUGG